rnacentral:rRNA from 1 species
GACGAACGCUGGCGGCGUGCUUAACACAUGCAAGUCGAACGGAAAGGCCCUGCUUUUGUGGGGUGCUCGAGUGGCGAACGGGUGCGUAACACGUGAGUAACCUGCCCUUGACUUUGGGAUAACUUCAGGAAACUGGGGCUAAUACCGGAUAGGAGCCCCUGCUGCAUGGUGGGGGUUGGAACGUUUCGGCGGUCGGGGAUGGAUUCGCGGCUUAUCAGCUGGUUGGUGGGGUAGUGGCUUACCAAGGCUUUGACGGGUAGCCGGCCUGAGAGGGUGACCGGCCACAUUGGGACUGAGAUACGGCCCAGACUCCUACGGGAGGCAGCAGUGGGGAAUAUUGCACAAUGGGCGGAAGCCUGAUGCAGCAACGCCGCGUGCGGGAUGACGGCCUUCGGGUUGUAAACCGCUUUCGCCUGUGACGAAGCGUGAGUGACGGUAAUGGGUAAAGAAGCACCGGCUAACUACGUG